rnacentral:rRNA from 1 species
GAUGAACGCUGGCGGCGUGCCUAAUACAUGCAAGUCGAGCGAACAGACGAGGAGCUUGCUCCUCUGACGUUAGCGGCGGACGGGUGAGUAACACGUGGAUAACCUACCUAUAAGACUGGGAUAACUUCGGGAAACCGGAGCUAAUACCGGAGAAUAUAUUGAACCGCAUGGUUCAAUAGUGAAAGACGGUUUUGCUGUCACUUAUAGAUGGAUCCGCGCCGGAUUAGCUAGUUGGUAAGGUAACGGCUUACCAAAGCAACGAUUCGUAGCCGACCUGAGAGGGUGAUCGGCCACACUGGAACUGAGACACGGUCCAGACUCCUACGGGAGGCAGCAGUAGGGAAUCUGCCGCAAUAGGCGAAAGCCUGACGGAGCAACGCCGCGUGAGUGAUGAAGGUCUUCGGAUCGUAAAACUCUGUUAUUAGGGAAGAACAAAUGUGUAAGUAACUAUGCACGGCUUGACGUUACCUAAUCAGAAAGCCACGGCUAACUACGUG